GAUGAACGCUGACAGAAUGCUUAACACAUGCAAGUCUACUUGAAGCACUUUCGGGUGUGGAUGGUGGCGGACGGGUGAGUAACGCGUAAAUAACUUGCCCCCUAGUCUGGGACAACUGUUGGAAACGACAGCUAAUACUAGAUAUUAUGAGACCUUGGCAUCAAGGACUUAUGAAAGCUAUAUGCGCUAGGGGAGAGAUUUGCGUCCUUUUAGCUAGUUGGUGAGGUAAUGGCUCAACAAGGCGACGAUAGGUAGCCGGACUGAGAGGGUGAACGUCCACAAGGGGACUGAGACACGGCCCUUACUCCUACGGGAGGCAGCAGUGGGGAAUAUUGGACAAUGGACCAAAAGUCUGAUCCAGCAAUUCUGUGUGCUUGAUGAAGGCCUUCGGGUUGUAAAGAGCUUUAAGUAGGGAAGAAGAAAGUGACGGUACCUACAGAAUAAGCGACGGCUAAAUACGUGCCAGCAGCCGCGGUAAGAC
rnacentral:rRNA from 1 species